GAUGAACGCUAGCGGGAGGCUUAACACAUGCAAGUCGAGGGGCAGCACGAUGUAGCAAUACGUUGGUGGCGACCGCCGCACGGGUGAGUAACGCGUAUGCAACCUACCCUGUACUGGGGGAUAGCCCGGAGAAAUUCGGAAUAAUAUCCCAUAAUGAUUUUGACAGGCAUCUUUUGAUAUUUAAAGUCUCGCCGGUACGGGAUGGGCAUGCGUAACAUUAGCUAGUUGGUAGGGUAACGGCCUACCAAGGCAACGAUGUUUAGGGGUCCUGAGAGGGUGAUCCCCCACACUGGUACUGGGACACGGACCAGACUCCUACGGGAGGCAGCAGUGAGGAAUAUUGGUCAAUGGGCGUAAGCCUGAACCAGCCAUCCCGCGUGCAGGAAGAAGGCGCUAUGCGUUGUAAACUGCUUUUCCAGGGGAAGAAAACUUCCAUCGAGAUGGGACUUGCCGGUACCCUGGGAAUAAGCAUCGGCUAACUCCGUGCCAGCAGCCGCGGUAAAAC
rnacentral:rRNA from 1 species